GGCCAAGAACCCCCUUCACACGUGUAGACAAAGGGACCCAUCAACACAACACAAAUAUGCACUCUAAAAGUUUUUCCGUGGCCGCGACUUCACGCCAACACCACGCAAAAUGCUCAGGCCAACAUGCACAUUCAGUUUCGGAAUUGUGGAUAAUGGAUAGCUUCUAUUCUCAACGGACACCCUUUUUUAGGAUUCAUGGACACUUUCAUUAUUUUUCUGCAGUGGAAUAUUACUUUCCCCCUGGAUUACUGGGCUAUUCAUAAUGAUAAUUAUUCAUUCCUACAUCUUGACAUGAAGAAGAAACUAAAGACGGUGUCUCCUUCAUGCCCUAUUCUCCAACUUUGAGCAUGUGUUUCUCAUCUCGUCAUGGCUUAUUAACUGAAGAUUGGAAUGGCCCGCUGCAGUGCUGAUGAGAGGACUAGGUUGCCCCAGUUCUACAACACCUGCACAGGAUUGGUACAUCCGAAUAUCACACCUGCUGGACAGGUACAGGAUGGCAACAACAACUGCCCGAGUUACACCAGGGACGCACAAUCCCUCCAUCAGUGUUCAGACUGUCUGCAAUGGGCUGAGAGAGGCUGGACUGAGGGCUUGUAGGCCUGUUGUAAGGCAGGUCCUUACCAGACAUCAUCGGCAACAACACUACCUAUGGGCACAAACCCACCUUCGCUGGACCAGACAGGACUGGCAGAAAGUGCUCUUCACUGGAUCUCACAGCAAGAACUGGCAAAUCUGGUGCAGUCGAUGAGGAGAUGCACUGCAGUACUUAAUGCAGCUGGUGGCCACACCAGAUACUGACUGUUACUUUUGAUUUUGACCCCCACUUUGUUCAGUGACUCAUUAUUCCAUUUCUGUUAGUCACAUGUCUGUGAAACUUCAGUUUAUGUCUUAGCUGUUGAAACUUAUGUUCAUACAAAUAUUUACACAUGUUAAGUCUGCUGAAAAUAAAAGCAGUUGGAAUUAAAUAAUGUUAUUUAGUCCAUGUAAAUAUAUAGUUAUAUGAAGUAUAAACAACUCUCUAUGGACACGUUGUAGAGAGAAUCGCCAUUGGCUAGUACAUUUUUGUUUUUACUCGCCAGACUUUUGACAACAUGCAAGCAUAAUGAAACUGAAUACUUAAAAUAUUAAGAAAAUCGAGAAGGGGGCAUCUUCACAUAUCUAUAGUAUUCAUAUACAGGUGCAUCUCAAUAAAUUAGAAUG